UCCGGGGUAGCUCAAUGGUAGAGCAAACGACUGUUAAUCGUUUGGUUGCGCGUUCGAAUCGCGCCCCCGGAG
rnacentral:tRNA from 1 species